GACUCGGGAGCUGCCUUUCGAAGGGUCCCCCCACUGCCCAGCAGCCGGCGGCAACAGUGUCUGAGCCCCCAGCCUCCCCUGGACCGCAGCUUCGCUCCCGCCGAGCAGAGGAAGGCGCGGCUGGCUCUCCCCAGGAAGGUGUCAGGAGUUCAUCACUAAAAAUCCAAUUCACCAUCCAGUUGGCCCCUUUGGUGCAAUCUACCACCACCUUUCUGUCCUGGGAAAGUCAGAUGUGACAUCCAGGGCGGUGAAUCUCACUAUCAGACUAUCUCGUCAGAACAAUGACGCCCCCAAAUCAACACUGGAGUUCGUCUUUGGUCACUCAAAGAAUUAAAAAAAGAGUUGUACUCACAGCCUACUUUUAGUAAAUGUUUGCUAAAGCAAACUUUCAAGAUGGCCCCCCCUUUUUAAAUA